UUAGAGUUGUGCUUGCUGAUGCCGAGAAGAGACAAAUCACAGACUCCAAUGUCAAAGAGUGGCUCGAUCUUCUCCGAGAUGUUGUCUAUGAGGUUGAUGACUUACUUGAUGAAAUUUCUACUAAAGCUGCUACUCAAAAGGAGGUAAGCAAUUCAUUUUCUCACUUUUUCAAAUCGAAGAAGAUUGUUAGUAUUACUAAGUUGGAAGACAUAGUUGAAAGAUUAGAUGACAUUUUAAAACAAAAAGAGAGUCUUGAUUUGAAGGAGAUUCCCGUGGAGAGCUACCAGCCAUGGAAAGCUCAGCCAACAUCUUUGGAAGAUGGAUAUUCUAUGUAUGGUAGAGAUAAAGAUAAGGAGGCCAUAAUGAAGAUGGUGUUAGAGGAUAGCACCAAUGGUGAAACAGUGUCUGUGAUCCCUAUUGUAGGCAUGGGUGGGGUUGGAAAAACAACUUUGGCAAGAUCUGUGUUCAACGAUGGCAAAUUGAAGCAGCAGAUAUUUGAUGUAAAGGCAUGGGUUUGUGUUUCUGAUAUAUUUGAUAUUGUGAAGGUCACAAGAACCAUGAUAGAGGAAAUUACCCGAAAGCCUUGUAAAUUGAAUGAUCUAAAUGCUCUUCAACUUGAGUUGAUGGACGAACUGAAGGGUAAAAGAUUAUUCAUUGUCUUGGAUGAUGUUUGGAUAGAGGAUUGUGACAAUUGGAGUAGUCUUACAAAACCAUUUCUAAGCGGGAAUAAGGGGAGUAAAGUUGUGAUCACAACCCGCAAUGAAAAUGUAGCGGCUGCAGUGCCUUUUCAUACUGUUGAAGUAUAUCAUCUAAACAAAUUAUCAAAUGAAGAUUGUUGGUUGGUGUUCGCAAACCAUGCAUUUCCUCCCUCAGAAACCAGUGAGACUAGAGGAACUCUAGAAAAGAUUGGAAAACAGAUUGUUAAAAGGUGCAAUGGGUUGCCGUUAGCGGCACAGUCACUUGGAGGAAUGUUGAGAAGAAAGCAGACUAUUAGAGAUUGGAAUAAUGUUCUUCAAAGUGACAUUUGGGAACUUCCUGAAAAUCAGUGUAAAAUUAUUCCAGCACUCAGAAUCAGUUAUAAUUAUCUCCCUCCACAUUUAAAACGGUGUUUCGUUUAUUGCUCAUUGUACCCCAAAGAUUAUGAAUUUGAAAAAGAUGAACUGAUCCAGAUGUGGAUUGCUGAAGAUCUUGUAAAAGCAGCGAAAAAAGGAAAGACUUUAGAAGAAGUUGGUCAAGAGUAUUUUGAUGAUUUGGUUUCGAGAUGCUUUUUUCAAUCUCCAAGAUGGAGUGAGGGUGGUUACUUUGUAAUGCACGACCUCAUUCAUGAUCUAGCAACAUUUCUUGGUGGGGACUUUUAUUUCAGAACAGAUGAACUUGAGAAAGAAACCAAUAUCGACAGAAAGACUCGUCAUUUGUCAUUAACAAGAUUCAGUGAUCCAGUCUCGGAUAUUGAAGCUUUUGACACAGUAAAAUUUGCAAGAACUUUCUUGCUAAUCGAUUAUAAAGAUUCCCCAUUCAACAACGAAAAGGCACCGCUUAUUAUAGUGUCAAGGCUUAAGUAUUUGAGAGUUUUAUCGCUUUACAAAUUCCAAAGUCAACUUGCUCUGCCUGAUUCAGUUGGUGAAUUGAUACAUUUGCGUUAUCUAAAUCUCUCUUAUACAAGUAUAGAAACUCUGCCGGAGUCACUGUGUAAUUUGUGCAAUCUACAAACUUUGAAGUUGUCUAGUUGCUCAGAAUUGACUAAGUUGCCUAGUGCCAUGCAAAAUCUUGUAAACUUGCGUCAUCUUGAAAUUCUUGGUACUUCCAUAAAAGAGAUGCCUAAAAGAAUGGGGAAACUAAAUAAAUUACGCAACUUGGAUUGUUAUGUUGUGGGCAAGCAUACAGAGAAUAGCAUCAAAGAACUGGGAGGACUUCCAAAUCUCCAUGGUAUGUUUUCUAUUGAGAAAUUAGAGAAUGUUACCAAAGGCGAAGAAGCAUUAGAGGCUAGGAUAAUGGAUAAGAAUCAUAUUAGCCAUCUAUCCUUGGAAUGGUCUAUAGAUAACGAUAAUAGCAUCGACUUCCAAGUUCAGUUAGAUGUACUGAGCAGGUUAGAACCUCACCAAGACCUGAAAAUGUUGUCAAUUCACGGUUAUAAAGGAACCAGAUUUCCGGAAUGGGUGGGGAAUUUUUCCUACCGCUUCAUGACACAUAUAUAUUUACGUAAUUGUAACAACUGUUGCAUGCUUCCUUCACUUGGGCAACUACCGUCUCUCAGUCACCUUGGUAUUUCAAACAUGAAUGUGAAGACUAUUGAUGCAGGCUUUUAUAAGAAGGAUGAUUGUUCAUCUGUGACGCCCUUUCCAUCCCUUAAACAUCUAAGCAUUUAUCAUAUGCCUUGUUGGGAGGUGUGGAAUGCAUUUGAUUCAGAAGCUUUUCCUGUGCUUAAGUUUCUUUGUAUAGAAGAAUGCCCCAACCUAAAGGGAGAUCUGCCAAAUCACCUUCCCGCUCUGCAAACACUCCGCAUUAGAAAUUGCGAGCUUCUUGACUGUUCUGUCCCAGGGCCUCGCACCCUUCGAACAUUAGAGAUACAGAAAUGCAAGACAGUAGCGUUUCAUGAGUUUCCACAUUUGGUGAGACGUAUAGAUGUAGAAGGAGGCCCAAUGGUGGAGUCCAUGAUGGAGGCCAUCUCUAACUUCCAACCUACUUGCCUGUACUUUUUGAGAUUACGAAAUUGUUCGUCAGCCAUAUCUUUUAGAGGUGGUCGUCUUCCUGCGUCUUUGAAAAUUCUUGAUAUCACAGGUAUAAACAAACUGAAAUUCCCGUUGCAAGACAAACACGAAUUACUGGAAUCACUUUCAAUAUAUAAUAGUUGUGAUUCGCUCACGUCUCUUCCAUUGGCCAUCUUCCCAAAUCUCACUAGUCUUCGAAUCACAAACUGUGAAAAUAUGGAAUCACUUUUGGUCUCAGGGUCAGAGAUUUCGAAGAGACUGGAGUCUUUUGAAAUUCGCCACUGUCCCAACUUUGUAUCAUUCCCGGGAGAAGGAUUUUGUAUGCCCAAUUUGACUAGGUUCCGUGUUUAUAAUUGUGAAAAGUUGAAAUCGUUGCCCGAUCAGAUGGGAACUCUUUUCCCAAAGAUGGAAUAUCUUUACAUAUCAAACUGUCAACAAAUUGAGUCAUUCCCUGGAGGAGGUAUGCCACCUAACUUGAGAACAGUUAAUAUAAUAGAUUGUGUGAAACUACUGAGCAACCAAGCAUGGGUAUGCAUGGACAUGGUUACCUCUCUCAAUGUGUGGGGUCCAUGUGAUGGAAUCAAAUCCUUCCCAAAGGAGAGUUUGCUGCCUCCCUCCCUUGUGUCUCUAGAUCUAUUUAAUUUGUGUAGUCUGGAAAUGUUGGAUUGCAAGGGCCUUCUCCAUCUCACAUCACUCCAAGAAUUAAACAUUAGAAGCUGUCAAAAGCUGGAGAAUAUUGCGGGAGAAAAGCUGCCUCUCUCUCUAAUAAAAUUAACGAUUGAUGAAUGUCCCUUGCUGAAACAACGAUGCCACAAAAAGGAUCGUCAAAUUUGGCCUAAAAUCUGCCAUGUCCGUGGAAUAAAGAUUGACGGUAGAUGGAUUUAACGAGCAUGGAUGAUGAGAAGGUAAUUCUCCUUAUGAGUAGGUAACCAUGAAAAACUAUUUUUGUCUGUUAUCUUUCAUUUCUUGUCUUUAUCCUUUCAAAUUUAACUUAAUUUAUAUUGCAAUGAACCAGUCUUAAAUUAGUUAAUUGCAGUUUCAUACUUGACUGGAUUUGCAAGUGUGAAGGAAAGCUAACAUUUUGUAUAUAUGUUAUUUAGCGUGAGCAUUCAUGUCAUUUUCGAUUAAACGUAGUCACUGCAGAAGUGAGUAAUGGUCUUUUAUUUUUCUUAACAGUUUGUUUCUUUGUGGUCAGUGUCAAGAUUCUUCUUAGUACUAUAGUGAAUAUGGGAGACAGAUAAUUUUCACUGAAAUUGCAUUUAAAGGGGGUAAAUUGAAUUAAUGUUAUCCAUUAAUGUUUUCUAAACACAAGUUUAAGAUUGUUUUCUAUAAAAUUAAUCAAACAGCUGGUUGAGGUCAAAAUUAAAUUCAUGACUAGAAGGGUGGUAUUUGUUUUUCAGGCAUGCUGGAUUGGCUUGGUGAAACUGCACCUGUCCAUUGUAAUGUACUGCCCUCUACGAGUCAUCACUUUUGUGUUUGACUUAUGGAUUUGAGUUGAAUUCAUCUGAAAGCUAUAUCAUAGCAUGCAGAGGUUGAAUUUGUCAUUGUGUGUAUUAUGCAUUCGAAAUGCUGAAUAUUGACUGUAUAUGUUGAAAGGAGUGAAUCCCAUCUCAGAACUACUGCUCUGCACUCACUCCAAUGCACUGAUUGGUAAAUAAGUCCUGGCCAAAGGCCGGUGAACCAACUCAUCGAUUGCACCUCAGGUGAUUUGAAAGGAUAAAUAAAUUACAGUAUAUUAGUUUUAGGAGAAUUUUCAAAGAAAGAAUUAACAGGGAAAUAAAGAAAAGACAAAAAAUUGGACAGUCUUCUUUUAAACCAAGAUAUUAUUCAAAAGAGAAAUAAAACUGCAGCAAACUUCUUCAUAUUCUGUUAAAGGAAGUCAUUGUAAUUUGAAUGAGUUGUUACAAAGGUGGACUAAACCUUCUCACAUUCUUUUAUUCACCUCUCACCCAUUAUUUCCUGUAAAUUUUAUGUUUCCUUAUUGAAACUGAAUUCGAUGUUAUAUAUAAAAAUACCAAGUUCGACAUUGAUAUAUAUUCUGCUUUUUUCACAAAAGUUGUUUUUUGGAUGUUCUUUAAAGGAUUUUUUUAUGAAGACAAAAUGUUGAAAGGUCCUACAUUUAUAAGUUUGAUGUAUACAAUAAACUGCUCAAGACCUGUAUUUAUCCAACAAAGUAUAUUUAUUGUUUGUUCAAACAAAAUCUUAUAAGACAAAGUAUACACAUUUGUGUUUCUUCAAGCAAAAGUUUAUUAAACCCAGAGCAUAAGUAAGCGCUUGCAUCCAUCUGAUAAGCCACAUAACAAAUAGCGCUUGCGUCUAUCAGAUGAAGCACACAACAAAUAAUGCUUACGUCUAUGAGAUGAAGUACAUAUCAAAUGCUUUUGAUCAACCAUACAAAUAAUGUCCAUCAGGCUAAACUGGACAAUGUGUCUAAAAGGAUCAAACAGAAUAUUUUGAAUUUUGAUCCAAUUACUAGUUUGAUUGAUACAUUAUCAACUUAGUUUUGAACACAGAAAGUUAUACACAAACAACAUCUAAUACUUGUUAAAUUAUUGAUAAUUUAAUUUGAUCAAAUAUAAAUAAUUGAUUUUAAAUGUAUAUCUUAGCUAGCACUUUAUGUAACUAAGAUAAACAGAAAAUUUUCAUUGAGAUUUGUUAUAUGGUAACAUUUUCAUUUUUAUUGACAAUAAAAAAUAGGACAAUGAUAUUUUGACAACUCUUUUUUAACAACUUUUUGACAACAGUAUACGUGUCAUCAUUUUAUUGGUAUGUUUGAAUUUAUCUUUAAAAAAAUAUUUGAAACGGACCAAUCAUAAAUUGUCACGUAUGCGUUGUCAAAAUGUUGUCAAAAAAGAGUUGUUAAAGAGACUUUUUUCUAAAAAAUAUAUUAGUAGAACCAAUAUGGUAUUUCAAUCAAAGCGUUGAGACUUUUUUCUAAAAAAUAUAUUAGUAGAACCAAUAUGGUAUUUCAAUCAAAGCGUUUAUAUGCAUAAGAUAGCAAAAACUAAAAAGCACUUCCAUAUAAUUUCUACCCUUCCAAAAAGACAACGUUUUAAAUAAAAUAACAAGUUUUGUUAUAUAUUUAGAAAUCAUACAAGUUACUGUUUUCUAAUUGAUUUUUUAGCAACAAAAAAUAUUGUUAUAUAAAUGAAAUAUAAGCUUGAAUCUCACAAAUUUGGAUAUUGUGAAUUGAGUCCUUAUUAAACUUUUGAGUUGAAUAUGAUUUUAUUCCUUAAAGUUUGGAUAUAAAAUUAAAAUUCAUUUUUCUUCUAAACAUUGUUGUAUCUUGAUCUCAAAACUUGAAAUGAAUGGAUAUAUUAUUUUAUAAAUUAACAACGUUAUUUUUGUAAACUUGUUAAAUGUGUUCCAAAUUUGCAUUUCAGUAGGAACAUGUUAAAACAACAUAAAUAACUUAAACGUCAUGUGACACAUUUGAUACAUAAAAAUAAAUUAAAGUAGCUGAGUUAAGAAAAUUAUAUAUAUGUCAAAAUUUGAAACAAUGACAAAUUUUAAUUUCAAAGUUUAGAGGCUAAAAAUAUAUUUAAUUCUAAAUUUGUUUGUUGUAUUACUCAGAAAUUUAUAUUUUUAAACUGUGUCCCUACCGUUUAAUUUUUCUAUUAAUUGUGAUUGUUAUAUUUACGCUUCGUCUUGGUUACUUGUCUCCAUGUAUUAAGAAAUAUGAGGUUUUAAACUAAGCGACAAACAGUUUGAAUUUUAUAUAAAGUAAUAAAAAAUUUUGUCGUUUUAUCAUUGUAUUUUCAAUUAAUAUUUCUUUUGCUAAUAAUUUUUAUUUUAAUCGCUUGAAUUUUAAAAAAAAAAAUACUCAAAUAAGAUUUACUAAUAAUUAUUGUUGGCAUCUACAUGUAAGAUAUCAUGAUACUUGUAAAUUAUUGAAUAUCUAUUACUUGCAUAUAUCCAUUCAGAAUAUGCAUUUAAUAUUUUUUGUGAAUUUUAUAUAUUAAUAUCGGCGAGUACAAUUUUUUUGUCAUUCUUAUAUUAUAUACAACGCAAUAUUAUUUAUAUUGACCGCAAAAUGUUAUAUUUUUUAACAUGUAGAAACAAUUAAAUAAGAUAACUAAAAAAAAAUUAACAAUCAUAUUACUUGAAAAAAUUAAAUGAUAAAAAUUCUUUUAAAAAAUAUAAAAAUUUUGAAUACUCAAUAAUUAAAUAAAUAUUUAAUUAAAAAUACUCAAAAUGUAUGAUCGACCUCAAGCUUAAUUAAUUUAAAAAUAUAUUAUAAUCUUUUGAUUGAUUUGUUAGGAGUAAUGUUAAAUGUCCGAUCAAGUAGUUUUUUACAAAAUUUUGAUUUACUUACAUUGAAUUAAAACUUGAGUGUUCUCCUAUGUGAUUUCAUUAUUUUUAUGAGAAUUACAUAUUAGAGUAGAAAUGAAAAUAUUCGUCUUAGUUGUUUCUAAUUACCUUUAGUCUGGGUCUCUAACUACUAGAAGAAAUUUACUAAAUUUAAUAAUGACGUGUCUUAUUGUCUGUGCACAUUUGGAAGCAGGAAAUGUAAACUUGUAAAGCUUAAUUUUGCUCUCAGAUUUUCAGCCAGCUCAUGCACAAGAAGGAAUAGAAUUUUACCCAUUAUUCAUGACAAGUCGUGAUUAUAUCCUGGAUAAAUCUAGAAUUUGACUAAAAUCUCCCUCUUUGGUUUUGUUUUUAAAUGUUCAGUCUGCAAAGUACUUCAUCAUUCUCAGUACUUGUUUUAUGUAAUCAAUCCUUCUUAGUACUCAUUUUCAGUAAAGUAAUGUGUGCGGAAAACAUUUCAACAUUCAAGCCAACCUCAACAUGUUAAUAGAAUCUUAAAUGUAAUUAAUAAGAUACUUCAUUGUACCAUUUAUAAUUAUAACUUAUUACAUUUGUGGAUCAUUACCUAAAUGAGUUUGAGCUUAGGCCUAAUAGAUCGGUCAGACCAUAGAAAGAAGAGAGUUUUACCCAUUUUUCAUGUCAAAGCAUGAUUAACUAUGGAUAAAUUUAGAAUUUGGCUAAAAUCUUACUCUUUGCUUUUGUUUUUAAAUUUUCACUCUCCAAAGUUCUUGUCUCCAUCUUUCUCCGCACUCAUUCUCUAUAAGGUGAAUAAAGAUUGUGCUUGUAAAAGACACUUCGACAUUCAAGACUUCAAACGUCAACAGGGUCUUAAGUGUAAUUAACAAGAACAUAAGUAAAAUGUUUCGACAAUUAUACUACUUAUAAUAUAAUUUAUUAUGUUUGUCAUGAGUAUAGGCUUAGACUAAUUGAUCAUUCAUCUUAUUUAAGUCGAUGUUUGAUUAUAUUUUGCUAAAUUAUAGAGUAAUAUGUACAUGUUAGCUCUGAUAGACCAACAGAUAAUUGAUUAGACCGUUUAGUGAUAUGACCAUUUAGUGAUAGUUCCCAUGUGAGCUGGACAUGUUUAGAUUCAAGCACUUAAAACAUAUUUAGUUUUGUUUUGUGUCAUAUCGUCCUAGGACGAUAUCAAUAUUGAUGUGGACAAGAAACAAGCAUAUAUAUAGAAUACAACUAUAUAGAAUACAACUCUCUGUCUGACUAUCACUUGUUACAAAAGGAGGAAAAUUACUUAUUUUUUUUCUUGGCUUAAACCUUGGCUGAUAAGCAAAGUGCUUGUGAAAACAACAAUUCAUUCUCGACUCAUUUGUCAUUCUCAACACAUCGAAAGUAAACCAUGUUUUUCUUUCUUCUUUCUCAUGUUUUUGUUUCAUACUACCUCUUCUUCUAAUUCAAGGUAAAUUUCUUCCCACUAUUUAUUUUUUAAUCUCAAGAUUUCCCAUUUUAUGUGUUCUUAUUAGGAUAAAAAUAAUUAUAGAAUUAUUUAUUUAGUAUAUUACCACCAAAUUCUUCUAAAAAUAAGGAAGGUUGACAUCAUAUUAUAAACUUCAUCUUUGUGAUUUUAUUUUGUAAAUUUUGAAUCUACCCUAUUUUUUUCUGUAAUAUUGUGACGGCUAUUUGAAAUUUAGAAUCCAAAAAUAAUUCGGCUACCAAAACUUGUAAUGAUUUAUUGAGAUAUAAAUCUAACAAUUUUUCUAUUUUUGCAAUAAAAACACAGUACAGAUUUGCUACAAAAUUAUUAUAUAUACACAUAUUUUGAAAAGGCUAAGCUAGAUGACAUCAAUUUUGAUGAGAAUUAUUUUGGAUUGAGUUCGAAAUAAAGAAUCGUAGUCAAGGAAACAAUCAAGUGAAACAUCCUAUCAUGUUAUGACACACUAGACUCGUCUGGACUUAGAAUGAAUAUCGAUCUGGGACGGGUUGUGCACUUGUGGUGGCCUCUACUACUUUGCAAAGUCAUUGUCAAUGGGUUUCACCCUACCACACACAAGUGUAAGUCUGUUACCGCGUAAUAGGCCUCCACGUAGCACCUAUCACUAGGACCUCUUACUACUCUCACCACAUGUGUCAAUCCUCUCUAAGUGAGAAUGAAAGACCAUUAGAGUGUUAAGGAUAAUCCCCCAUGAAGAAACCUCAUAUAUUCAUUCUAAACACUAAAUGAUCUCACCUAGAGAUCUUACUUUAAUACUAUUCAAGUCACCUUAAUCAAAUCUCAAUCCUCUUUGAAUCAUUAACAUACCAUACUUGUUACAUUCAACACCAAUCAUAACCUUUAUAUGUACAUACUUUCAAACUAUAAUUCACACACAAUACAACAUGCCUUCAAUCCUGUUGCAAAAUCAAUCUAUAUAUAUAUAUAAACAUACAAGACAUUUUUUCAAUCAAACAACAUCAAUCAAUCCAUGGCAUAAGGAUACUCAUAUUUAGGUAAGGAAAACAGCUCCAAAACCAUCACUAACAGCUCCAGAAGGGUCCAUGUCAACUCUCUAUUUUUCCCCAUUUUUCUAUGUUAAUAUUACUCUUUUAGGAUAGUUUAGUUUUUAAUUUUCUAGAAUUAGGUUAAUUUAGUAUUUUUUCUUUAAAUUUAGAGUUUUGUUAAAAUAGUGUUAAUUUUGUCUUUUUAGUUAAAUAAAUAGGUUUUUAAAUAAAUAAGUAUAUUUUUUAGAUAAAAAUGUUCAAGAAAAUAAAUAAUUUUUAGGCUUUUAUUUUUCUGCAGGAUCAAAUCUUUGAAAGCAAUUGGGUUGGAAUGGGCUGAAGUUCUUUUUAGGAGACUUAAUGAAACACACUGUUUUGAUGUGCUGAUGCAAAAGAGGGGUCUUCUAAUUUGUGUUCAUUUGUGCGCAGAGAAGCUCGAGUCAUUUGGGGCUUUCUCCCAACUCUUUCAUUCAGAGCUAGGGUUCUUACGAAAAGAGAGUUUCAGAGCAUCGAAGUAGAGAGCUUGUUUAGAGACUCACAGCCCAAGAGGAAGCUGGCCCAGGAAGCAAAUCGGACCGAUGAUCGGACCAGAAUCGUAAUAAGAGGUUUGCGGAGCUGAAUCGAUUGAAGAAGAGCAGUUAGGAAGUUAGUUGGAAAAGCUUCACGAAGCUUCGAAUUCCGUUAUUCGGUUGAUCCCCUUUCCCUCAUUUUCUUUCUUCUUCUAUUUUGGAUUGUCCCCUAUAUAAGGGAGGUUCUGUAAAGUGUAAAACCACAGGUGGUGGGUGACAAACACCACUAUACACUCUAGACUCCAGGUUUUCAUUUUCCAUGCCUUAGUUUAGACUUUUCAAUGCUUUUGUAGAGAAGUAGAUAAACUGUUCUUUGCUGCUGACUUCGUGGAGGGAUCUCAAGUGGGUGACAGGCCGUGAGAUUCCCCUUUUGUGAUCUUGGGUACAUUUUUUUUUUUUAUUUCAGUUCUUCAAUAUUCAAUACAAUGCUAUUCUUUUAUUUUUCUUGCACGAUUUUAUGUUUCUUGCUCGUUUAAUUUCGAUUCCUGCAAAUUACUUCUAUGAUUCAAUUUCUUCUGUUUAGUCUUCUUUUAUUACUCCUUAUUUUGUUUCAUCUGUUUUAGUCUAUUUCAUUUCUGCUUGAUUAGUUUGCUUUCAUCAAUUAACUGUACAUAUUAGAUGUUAGGUUUUGAUUCUGUGUUACAGUUUCGGCCAUUUCUUUUCUGAUAUGUGAUUAGGAUUAGAUUUAAAUUCUGUUUUCAUUGGUUGUUUUUAAAAUUCCAUAUUUCUAUUACUUUGUUCAUUCACAGUUGCAAUUUUGGUUCAUUAUAGGUUCUAUGUUUUUCCAAUUAAAGUUUCUUUCUAUUGUUUUUUUUAGGAUAAAAGUCAUUUUCCUUUCUUUUCAUUUACUCAUUCAUGCAUCAUUCAUUAAAAUUCUUCCUUAUUAGUGCAUCUCUAUUCUUUAUAUUGUUUCUGUUUUCAUCACAUUAUCUUGCAUUCAUUUAGAUUUAGUAGAAAUAUUCAGUAUUAAUUUUGUUCAUAUUAGAUUUCAUUUUAUAUUUUUUCCCCACCUAGUUUUAGAUUUAAUUUUAAAUAAAUAGGUUCAAUUCUAUAAUUCUAAACUUGAUUUUGCCAAGUCCUUGGAUUGAUCCCUAGUCAGCCCUAUACUACAUUAGUGGGGACUAGGUUUGUUGACUUUUGUGCGACCAAAAGCCUUUCAACAGUCCAAAACCCCCAAAACGACCUAAGGAACAUCCAAAACAGACAUCUGAAACCCCAAAAACUAUCAAAAACAAAAACAACAACAUGCUGGUAUGCCCAGGGGCGCUCAGGGGCGCUCAGCGUGAAUCGUUAGUGCAUCCACGGUGCCAGGGCUCUACCAAGGGCAAUGAGGCGCCAUACCUGUUGACAACAACCAUGAAAAUAGGCUUUUGAUGCACUUGAAACCUGUUCUAAUGACUAAAGGGGUUCUUUACACAUUUGUAUUGAUGGAAAAACAUGUUUAUAUGUUAAACAAACCUCUAUUUGAUCACUAGAUCCAAGACUAGGUGUAUCAAACCACUUUUGACACUUUAAAAACCCAAUUUCAUCAACCUAAAGGUCUAAAAUUGAAUUUACCAUUUAGAAUGUGUUUUUAGCAAAUUUAGCACUUGUAACUAGUCUCAAAUGACUCAAUCAAACUGUCCCCACUGUCUACUUACACCCUAGACCUCAGUUACUCAAAAACACCCUUUCACUUCCUCUAAACUCACUCAAAACACUAGUUUUCCUCAACCAAAGGACUCAACUCCACUUCUACCAUUUAGAAUCUCAUUUUAACCAAUUGUAUAGUCCUAACAAGUUAUAAUUAACUUGCCUAAGCUGCCUCAAUAGUUCAAAUAUGCCCAAGACCCCUAACUCUAAAAUUCCCCACCUUACUUCCUCUUAAAAGACCUUAAAAAAGUACCAAUUUCUUAAGUAUGAUGCCUAAUCAAUACCACAACAGAUUUCUCACCCAAAUCCCCUUUUAACGUUUUCAAUCAUAACAAAUUAACUCAUUCAAAUCAGCUUUCAAACAUUCAUACUGAAAUUUCACAGUUUAAACAUUCCAACACAUGCACUAAAUCCACUAAAAAAAGAACAAGAGUCAAACCAUAUACCAAUUCAAGAUUUAACAUACGCACAUCUCAUGCAACAAUUUCUCGAAAGACGCUAGCUCCCCUUACCUCUAAACGGAACGCCAAGCUCACGAAACCCCAAAUGCUCACUUACACCUCAAGAAAGACUAAGAUUACCUACAAUUCAUAAAAUUCGUUGUAGGAGGCAGAAUUAGGGAUCUAGAAAGACUUGGAAAUUGCAAAGAAGAAGUAGAAUGCUCAUGAAAAUAAAAAAUCUGGUGCAUGUAGUACAACCUUGAAAUGCAUGGAAAAGGAGGACCACUUACCGGCGGCGGAACAAGAAAUUGACUGGUCGGAUUUGAAGCCCACAACAUCAAGAUUACCUAAGCGGUCUCUGAUUGUGGAAUAAAUGGAUCAAUAAAGAAGAAAUCUAGAGAGAUGGUAGAGAAAGUUUGAGAACAAAGUGAUAACGGUUGAUUUAAUGUGUUUGUGUGUGUAUAUUUUGUGAACAAAUCAACUCCUUCAUAGCUUUUACCUUGUUUUAUCCUCAAGUUUAGUGUGUUUCCUAGUUUUCUUGUGUUUUAUUUAGUAUAUGCUUGUUUUUACCUCUAAUCUCUUUGUUUGAGUGUUUGAAAUAAAUGAAUAGGAAACAAUUCUACUGGAGGAAAACAAGCAAGAACUCAAGGGAACAUGUUUUGGGACAAUAAAAGAUCAAUUUGAAGCAAAUACCCAUGUUGGACGCCUUUGGAAAUGCACAAGAGCUUGAAUUUUAGAAUGCUGUCAAAAUUGUCAUGCCCAGGCGCCCUUCUGUGUGCUGCAGCCAGAUUUCCACGCCCGGGCGCCCUUGCCUUGUGGUUCGCUGUUGGUGCUUAAUUAUAGCGCCCGGGCGCCCCUGGGGGGCGCUGAGCGCCCUUUUUCUGUAGAUUUCAUGCCUGGGCGCCCUUUGCUUCACUGUUUUACCCAGAAUUGGAGCUCGGGCGCCCAGAAGGGGCACUGGGCACGACUUUCCGCUGAUGUGUCAAAAUGGGUUAUUUAAACAUGGGUCUCGCAAUUUUUAGAGCAUUAUUCUCCUCCCACACUUCAUUCUUCACCUAGAGAGAUUGGGAGAGGCCCUUGGAGGCUAUUUGGGGUGUUGGGAAGCUCUCUCACUCCUCCUUGGGUCUUCAAGCUUCAUCAAUGGUGAUUUUGACCCUUUUGGGUUGAGGAAGAAGAUGGGUCACAAAUUGAAGAUGGAGAUGCGAAGGGGAGGCACAAAUGGAGCAUGAAGCAGCUGCCAAGAACCUUGGGAAAGACUUUGCAUCUUCUCUUUGGUUCCAAUUUCUUCCCUAUCUCUUCAAUUUUGUAGAACCCUAAGUUCUCCACCAUGGAGGGCUUUUCCUAUUUGUUGAGAUUAGUUGUAAAACAUGAAAUUCUUAUGUAUUUUGUGAUGUUAAUGAUAUAUGCUUUUCCAAUUCAUGUUAGUAUUUGAUUUCUAUGCUUAAUGCUUGUUAUGGCUUGAUCACCCAUGGCAUGAAUUUUGGUUCUUGAUGUAUUGAGAAAUAUGAUUGAACCUAGAAUUGAAAUUGAAUACUUAUUUGAUGGAAUUGAGAUGUUUGUGAAUGCAUGAGAAUGAAAUGGAUGAAUUCUAGUCUUGACAAAUUAUAAAUACACUAUGUUAAAUUCCUUGCACACCAACAGUUUGAUAAAAUACCAAAAAGAGUUUCUUGUGUUGUUUUUAUGCACUUUGAUGUCUAAUUGAGUUAUAAAAGGAAGAAUUGUCAUGUGUUGCACAAGUCCCUUGGGAGAGAACGAUAUUUAUCACUUGCUACGCUGCGACCGGUGCACUUGCCGUUGGUUUUGCAGCCAACACAAAGCUUGAGAGAGAUGAAAAGUUUUUAAAUAAAUGGACCAAAUACGUUUUAUAAAGGCUUCCAUUUUAUGUUGCUGAUAUGUUAUAAAUAUAAAACAUGGUCCCAUUGACUUAAUAUCCUUAUCACUCUUAAGUCUUAUUUCUAGGUUAUUACAAUUGUUGUGUUUCUAUUACUUGAAAAUAAUCGUAUAUUUAAAUAUAGGUUUAAUCAUUCAGGAGGUCCCUAUUUUCGGGUAGAAUCUCAAUUUUGUCCCGUUCUUUUUCGGUUUCUCAAUUGGGUCCUAAUUUUGUAAAAAUUGCAACAAUUGAAUCCCUGCCGUUAAAUUAAGCCUCACGGUGUUAGUAUGUGAUUGAUGUGGCAUGCCGAACUUAAUUUCUUAGUUGACGUGGCAUGGUGACUGGGUUUGAAUUGGUUUUUUGUUAAAAAAUAAAUUGAGUGAAGAUCAAAUCAGAUGUUUUUUAUGGGUAAAAUGGGCAAACCCCAUUUCUUUUUCGAUUGAAACUGUGAGGAGGGGAAACCAAUUCGCCCUCUUCAUCACUCUCAAGCUCAUUUUUUCACAUACAUCAAAAUCCCCAAAGGUAGCAUUGCUAUCUCAUACAGACACCAUCGAACCGAAUGCUCCCACCAUCAACACCAUGCUCCUUCUUCCUCUAACUUAUCUGGUACAAAAGCAGGAUAAUAUUGUACCUGUGGAGAAAAAAUAAAUCAAAAUAUAUUCACUUUCAAUGUGUCUUGGGACACUUGCAUGUUCAUUCCAUUCAACUUAAAAUUAUAUAUGCUUGUAAAAAAAAUUAUUAAAAUUCUAGCUUCUUCCAUUUCAUAGAUAGAUUGACCUGCCACAAACUUGAACUUCAAUGUAAAACCAUUCUAUGGUGUGUGGGUGUGAGUUUUUGAAUUUUUUUGUAUAUGGGAUAAAAAUGAAUUCGAAGGAAAAAAAAAUUGACCUUUGUGAUAUUUGGUAGCAAAUGAUGACAUUGAAGUUCACAAAAAGAACGAAACUUUAAAGAACCCAAAAAUACCUCCCAAUCUGCUUCAAAAUGUCAAGCAUAUUAGUCUAAAAAACAUGACUAACAACUUCAACACUCACACCGGUCCCACUCUGAGGCAUCGCAAACACAUCCACAACGUGCACGAUGUACUCAUCCACGAACUCCCCCAACAUCAGACCCAGCACUUCCAUGGGUACCCCAACUUUUCUUCCACACAAAUUAGGGUUUUUUUAAACAUUCGCGCUAAUGAAAGAAGAAAUAUGGCAAGGAUCGAGAAAGAAGAGAAAAGUACCCUUACUACUGUCAAUUUCUUUGGUACUGCUUCGUCGGCGUGGGUGGCCCCGUCGGCGACGCUCUUGGCCGGCGAAAGGAAGGCGCAACGGAGGAUAGGGACUGCUGCAUUGGAGGUUGAAGGAAGAGUCGUUUCUGUCUUUUCCUUUUUCGUGCAUAUCCUUAAAGUUUUAGGGUUCCAGAGAAGGAAAGGUUUCCCCUCCCCGUGUUUCCAACUGAAGAAGAAAUGGAAUUUGUCCAUUUUGCCCUUGAAGAUAUCUUUGCUUAAUUUAUUUUUUAAUACAAAAACCAAUUCAAACUUAGUCAGCGUAUCACGUCACUUAAGAAAUUGACUUCGCAAAUACACAUUAACGCCGUUAGACUCAAUUUAACGGAAAAGAUUCAAUUGUUAUAAUUUUCAUAAAAUUAAGAUUCAAUUGAGAAAACCAAAAAGAAUAGGACAAAAUUGAGAUUUCCUAUAAAAAUAGGGACGGAUUAAACCUAAAAUAUAAAAAUGUUGUGUAAAUUGAUUCAUUUUGUUUAGUAACCAGGAAAUGGUUACGACGACUCAAUGUAGAAACAAAAAUCUAACUAUAUCACAGUUUUCCAUAAUAUCCAUUGAUGUUAAUAUAUUAUCUAUUGGAGCUUCUUUUAACCAGCGUACGUCAUGGAAAUGUUGUUUCCUCUUAUAUUUAAUGAGAUUGUUGUUGUUCUUUCUUGUUAUAAAUGCUAAUUCAUAUUUUAAUAUAACUACUACUAUUUCUAUGUUUUAUUAAUUAGUUAUUCUAAACAAAUAAAUUUAAAGCAAUAGGUAACAACGAGUAGGGAUGUUAUAACUAAGCAUAUUGAUGGUACAAAUUAAGUGGAUAACAAAUUAAUUUAGAGGAAAAAUUAUAAUCAGUCAUAUCUCAAAUAAGAUUAUUAUGUAUCUAGUUUUUUAGUUAAUUAUAAAUUAAUUAUUCUUUAAUUAAUAUAUCGGCAAACUGUUAUCGUAGGUGAAUAUCGAAUGAAUUCUAUUUUUGAAACUUAAACUUUUUAUUAUAUUUAAAUAAAUACAACAAUUAGUUUAUUUUUUUUAACUGUAAUUUCAAACUCUUUUGUCAAAGGAAUAUAAUUUCAAACUUAAUAUUAAACGUUAAUGUCAUAAUUGGUACAGAUAAAAUUGCAAAAUAAUAUUAUUUUUUUAGUUAAUAAUUUAUUAUUUUAGUAUCCAAAUUAAUACUUGUGCGUUAACUUUUUAAAAUAAAUUACAUAUCUCAUACGUUUAUAUUUUACAUUUAUUAUGCUAUUAAUAUUUUAUUUCAAAAUCAAAUGAGCUUCUUUAUUAAAAUAAUAUUCAUUAUUUAUUAAAAUACAAUAUAUACUUUUCAGCACAAUAUCAUUUAUACUCUGUUUCUGGCAGAAAAAAAUAAAUAGUUUAGUGAACUCUCUUCGUAAAACUUAGAAAAAAAAAAGUUACAAGGAUUUUUGGAUUAAAGUAGUCAGAAAUAGUUAAAUUCAGUUAUACUAAUUUGAAUUAUUUAAAAGUUAUUAUAACCAACUUCUAUAAAUAAUAAAUUUUUAAAAAUAUCAUAACUUUUUAAACUUUUGAGAACAGUUCGAGUUGAAUUAAUGAUAAAAAAUAUUUAUUGUCAUAUAGCACAAAAAUUAAAAAACUAUUUUCUACUAUAUAAAAAAAUUAUUAUGUAUCAAGGGUUAACUGACUAGAUGUAGCCUGUAAAAAAGAAAACAUUUUCUUUUUUUAUUUUUGGUUAUUUGUCAAUUCGGAUUAUUUGUAAGCUUACUCACAAAACAACUAAAAUAUAGUUGUCAAAUUAGCUUUUAAAUCCAUAUUAUCCUCAAAUAAAGACAAUACAGUGGAUAGAUUAGGAUGAUAUUGAUCUAAAUUAGAAUUGAACCAGUUCAAGUAAUCAACUCAUAAUCCAAAUUAAGUUCAUUGCGACAGCUUAAUACAAAAAUUAACAGACUAAACCACUGCGGAUAAAAGGCAAAACACCAACAUUUUUUUCUCAUCCGAAUUCAAGGUCUAAUCAUCCUUUGUUCUAAAGAAAACAAAAACAACCUCCUUGAAUGCAAUUUUCCUUCACUUGUUUUCUCUGGAAAUCUUUGGCAAUUGUUCUUCUGCAUUUGAGAUAUCAUCAUGGGAGCGUGUUGCAGCCAUGUUUCAGUACAUGAUGUGGAAUUUUCAUGCAAGCAUAACCAUGAUGAUGGUUCAUGUGAACAAGGUGGGAACCAUAUUAUGUCAAGAGGGUCCUCUGAAUUUGUAUCAAUGUACAGCAAAAAGGGUUCAAAAGAAGUUAAUCAAGAUGCAUUGACUGUGUGGAAGGUAAGAUUCUUGAUGUAUCUGUUCGCAAUUUGGCUUCAUUUUCUAUUUCCCUUUCAAUCAAUCUUCCUGGAAUUGUUUUCCUUAAAGUCUUUAAGGUUGGAAAUUACAUUUUAGAAGGUGAAAUUGCAGAUAUAAAAUUAACUUAUCAUGAAUUUCCAUCAUUAAAACAUAACGUUUCGUAGUGAAUGAAUUCAUGGCUUUGAUAUUAAUGGUUAAUAUGAUACGUUUAUCAGGACUUUACUGCAAAGAAAGACAUGAUCUUUUGUGGGGUGUUUGAUGGUCAUGGUCCUCUGGGGCACAAGUUUUCACAGUCUAUACGUGACAAACUACCCUCAAAACUCUCAGCAUCAAUCAAACAAUCACAACAAAAGGUCAUCAAACACAAUGAUACUAAUGCUACAUAUGGAAGUAGUCACAGUGAAAUGCUUGUUAAGGAUAACCAAAAUAUGUCCUUUUCUUCAUGGGAGGGAAGCUUUAUGAAGUGCUUCACUGAAAUGGAUGAAUAUCUUGCGAAGAACAUAGACUCUAAAGGGUUUUCUGGAGGUAGCACUGCUGUAACUGUUAUCAAACAGGUAUAAUUAAUUAGAUCUUCUCAAUUUCAUUAUCUCAUUGUCAAUGUUGCAAGAAUGUUCCAAUUAACCACAUUCUUUCCCCUUUUUAAAUUUCAGGGUGACCAAUUAAUAAUUGGAAAUUUGGGAGAUUCACGUGCAGUUCUUUGCAGAAGAGCAGAUGACAACCAUCUUAUUCCUGUUCAACUUACUGUUGACUUGACCCCAGAUAUUCCAAGUAGGUCUUGGUAUUAACUUUUAAUCUAAGUUUUCUGAUCUUAAAAUUUGGUUAAAUGGAUUAGUUAAGCCCUUAUUCAUUAAGAACUUAUCAAAUCAAAUGAGAGGUUAUUGAUAAGUUGAUUGUAAACCUUAGUGAAAUAAGGUAAAACAACUUAUUUUGAUAAGACACUCUUUCAAAUGUCCCUGUGUCUAACCUGCUUUUGUUCUUCAAUGUCACUCAGGUGAAGCUUUAAGAAUCAUUAAUUGCGGAGGUAAAAUUUUUUCUUUAAAAGAAGAACCAAGUGUAAAUAGACUAUGGAGGCCAAAUGGGAGUCGCCCUGGACUGGCUAUGGCAAGAGCCUUCGGAAAUUUUUGCCUAAAAGAUUAUGGUCUCAUCUCAGUCCCUGAUGUAUCAUACAGAAAACUUACAGAGCAGGAUGAGUUUGUGGUUCUGGCUUCUGAUGGGGUAAGCAUUUUCGUAUCAAGAUCUCAAACAUUUGAUCAAAUAGAGCUUUCAAACAAUAAGCAACAGCCAAUUAUUAUUCCCCAAAUUAUAUCUCAAUCAAAAGGGUCUAAAUUUUCUUUCUUUUAUAGGUAUGGGAUGUGCUAACAAACAGUGAAGUAAUAGACAUAGUUGCUUCAGCACCAAAAAGGUCCAUGGCAGCUAAAUUGUUAGUAGACCAUGCAGUUAAAGCAUGGAAACGUAAGUAUGUUUCCAUGGUUGAUGAUUGUACAGCUAUAUGCUUGUUCCUGAAGGAUCAAACUGUUUUAACCCAAUCCUGACACAAAGUGAGUGAACAACAACAUCCCUCUGAAGCACCUGCAUUGGUCAUAAUCUAGAGAUGUAAAUACUGAAUGUAACGAAGUGUAAAUGGCAAGAGUAGUUUUAGAAUCAAAAGGAAGAAUUUGAAGCUCUUGCAGGGUUAUCUGCAUUCAAUUUUGAAUCAUGAUAGCAAUGAUCUCAGUAGCUUAAGGGGGCUUGAAGCUGAUCACUAACUCAAUAAGAACUGUACAAAUCAAAAUGUAUAAUGUUAUUGGGAGGUGGGGGGACUAGAGCAACUUAGGCUUAAUACCGUUUUUGGUCCCUAGUUUGGGAGGUUUUGUUCAAUAUGGUCCUACCUUUUUCUUUAAUAACAAUUGAUCCCACUUUUUGAAAAAACUGUUCAAUUGACUCCUUUUUGGUUAUGACGUCAAUUUUCAAACGGUGUUGAUUACGACGUCAAUAAGUUCUGUCAUGUAUUCACCUAUCCAAAUGUUAUUUUAACAGUCCUGACAUAAUGUUGUGUUAAAAAUCAUGUCAUCAUCGUAUACAAUAAGGACUAUAAUAAACAAUUUAAACUUGAAUAUGGGACCACUAUGAACAAAAAGGACUCAAUUGAACAGUUUUUUCAAAAGGUGGGAUCAAUGGUUAUGAAAAAAAAAAGGUAGGACCAUAUUCAACAAACCCUUCCAAACUAAAGACCAAACGGUAUUAAGCCAGCAACUUACAAUGUACAAAUAGUAUAGCCAGAAGGUUUUGUUUGGACAUAAAACCAGAAGAGAGAAAUUAUUUCAGCCUUCUAUUCUGGUUUGAUUUCAUGUACAAGACUUUUCUUUUACCAGCCUGUGCGAUGAACUUUUAAUAAAUUGUAACACUUUUUCUGGCUUGGAUACUACAAAUUUUAAUCAAGAACUAUGCAUACCUACUUUUCUAUUUAUGUUCAAUUGUUUUUCAGAGUGAUGUGUUAACUCUUCCACAGAUCUGACAAUAGAAUAAAAUAAUUUUGGGAUUCUACACAUACCUACCAAAUUAUACUGAUAAUAAUUUUCUAAUGUUAUAUAGUUAUGGAGCAAAAUCAAAGGUUAAGGUUAAACGCCAACAAAAGUUGUUAUUGAAUAAUGAUUAUGAAAUGAUAUAUCUUCAUAAAUUAUGCAUAUUAUGCAUAUGUUUAUGUAGGAAUGAGAAUGGACCGAGGUCGGGACGGAAUUUGUUAACAUCUCCAGAGAAAAAAAUUAUCUCCAUCCUCAUAUCUUCACUCAACAAGUAUUAAAUUUUUGUCUCAUUCUCGUUCUUAGCUAAUAUCGAGUAUAUAUUCGUAUUUAUAUAUGCUUUUUUACUAUUUCAAUAUCAAUUAAUUAAUUUUUAUAAAUUAAUAAAAAAAUUAUGACAAAUGAAACAUAAUAUCGUCAAAUAUUCAAUAUCAAGAGAAGAAGAUUAUCAUUUUUUUCAAUAUCAAAUAUUUAAAAAGAAAUUAUAAUUAUAUAUAUUUCAAAUUAGAAUAAUAAAUAAAAUUUCAUGAGAAGCAAACAUUUAUUAAAAUUACAAAUGUUAAUUAAACCAAAUUAAUAAAAUUUAAAAAUAUUUUUAGAAAAAAUAUAAAAGAAAAAAAUACAAAUUAAAAAAUAUUUUAAAUGUUUUUUUUUACUUCAAUUUGUCAAAACAACUGUAGUAGAAUGAUUGCAUGGACAAAUAACCAAGCAAGGUGAAUUGAUUCUUUACAAAAAUGGGUGCCUUUUAAAAUUUUCUCUCAAUUAACAUUACUUAGCAAAUAAUAUAAACAAAGUAAAACAAUAAGGUAGAGAUAAAUUUGCACAUAUAAUUUUAUACCGGAUCUUAUUAAUCCUACUUACAGUUGCUAAUCUCAAAACAAGAUUAACUAUCCAUUAAUCACAUAACCAAUACAAACUACAAUCACACAGAUAUAAUUUGCAGGGUUUCGAAAACACUUCUUUUGACACAUAGGAGAUGAAACACACUUCCCUUAGACACACCAAGGGAUGAUCACUUCCUUUGACAAACAAAGGAUGACGCCUUCUUCAUAACACCUCCUCAGACACAACAAGGAUGAACCGACUAUUCCUCUAUCAUCGUAGCAGCAACUCACCAGCUCCGUAGACAUGAGUUUCUCAAGCCUUACAAUAAUACAAAAUUCUCAAGUGAUUCACAAAGAGUUCUGAGUUCUAGAGUUCAAGGGAAGGUCCUUGAGUAAGAAAUGAGAAUUUAUUUAUAGACUCAAGCUAAAGACACUUUCAUUUUUUUGUUUUUUGCCUUUAUGACUGAUUUAAUCGAUUAAAAUAAGUUUUAAUUGAUUAUUUCAUAAAGGACAAACAUAAAUGUCGGUUUAACGGCUAGAAAAAUGGCUAAAAUCUCCAACGGUCGGAUUUAAUCAAUUAAUUCCAGUAAUAAUUGAUUAAUGCUAAUCGAUUAUUCGAGAAAAAUUUGGAUUUUCAGACUUUGUUAUAAUAAUCGAUUAUUUCAGCGGAUUUAAUAAAUUAAUUUCAGUAAUAAUCGAUUAAUGUUAAUCGAUUAAAUCAUAUUUUGAUCAAUUAUUCAAGAGAAAUUUGGAUUUUCAGACUUUGCUUAAUAAUCGAUUAUCUAGCUAUUAAUCAAUUAACACUAAUCAAUUAUUCUUUAUUUUAAUCUAUUGGAGGAAGUAUGGAGAGAAACAAGUGAAAGGAAGUGAGAAUCCACGCGGUUAUUACAAGUGCACUUAUCCAAAUUGUCCAACAAAGAAGAGAGUUGAGAGGUCUUUGGAGGGACAUGUUACUGAAAUUGUAUACUGAAAAGGUUGAAAGGGGAAGUCACAAACAUCCUAAGCCACAUAAUAGAAAAAAUGGGUCUCCAUCAAGGCAUCAAACUUUUUCAUCCUGCACCAUCUGUGGGAUUUCAGAUCUGUCUAUGGGAGAGGAAGACUUUGAGAAAACAUCACAAAUUAGUUGCUCUGGAGGUGUUGAUGAUGAUGACUUUGGUCCUCAGGCCAAAAGAUGGCAAGAUAAGCAAAUGACAUACAUCACUGAAAUAAACUUGUAUUAUUGGAAAGAAACUACAUGAUGAGCUUGAUUUCAGUGUGACUAAUUAUGAUUGUGAAUCUCAUAUUUAAGGAAAGGAUAGAAUGAAAAUGAUGACUAUUCUAAUUCCUCAGCUGGGAGUAGAAUUGUUAAGGAACCUAGAGUUAUGGUUCAAACCACAAGUGAAAUUGACAUACUUGAUGAUGGAUAUAGGUCGACAAAAUAUGGACGGGAAGUGGUCAAAGGAAACCCAAAUCCAAGGUAUUUCCAUUUUUCAGAUUGUACAAGAAAAUUUAACUGGCAUACAAUGUUAUUGUAAACAUUUUUAAAUUGUCAUUCAAUCAUAAAUUAUCCAUGUAAAAAUUGGAAGUAAUUAUCAUAAAGGCCAACAAACAUAUCAUAUCUGAUUAUCAGUCAUACUCUCUGGAGCCUUUCAAUCAAACCCUUCAUAGAAUUGAUCUUCCUUUAUGAAAAGUAAAACAUUUGUGUUUAAAUGAUUAUUCUGCCAAGCGAAUUUGAAAUAGAACUGAAGAAAACAAAAAACACCCUUUUGCUGUAUGCCUCUUUUAGUGUUGCAAUUUCAUUAUUACCACCCCAUAAGGCCAUGACUUACUCAAAACAUUCUUUCUGCAGGAGUUACUACAAAUGCGUUGCCCCAGGUUGUCCAGUGAGAAAACACGUUGAGAGAGCUGCAAAUGACAUGAAAGUUGUGCUAACAACCUAUGAAGGGAAACAUAACCAUGAUGUUACAACAACACCAGCAAUGUAAUAGGAGACAAAGAAAACGUGUUGACUUUGAAUUCCAUUAUUCUUUUGUUGCUUCUGUUUUAUAACGAAUAAAAGGUUUCUUUUGCUAUGUCUCACUACAUUCAUUUACUUUCUAAAGUUUAUGCUAGUCUUGGCAAUUUCUACUCUGGUAUGCAAGUGUCUACUGCUAUUACGUCUCAGUGAUUUUUGUGUGUUUCUAUAACUUUUAGAUCAAAGUUCUGUUAUUGUUCAAAUUAUGAAGUAUUCAGCUACUUCUAAUCUAUUCAGUAAUAUGGCUAUUCGAGUCCAAGGAUGAAGAAAAUUUGAGGAAGACCAAUAAAUUGAAUUUGUAAAAAUUUUAUAGUGUCAAGUUUAUGUGUAAUUUUCUAAUAAUUAUCAUGUUUACUCUUCACGGCUUUUCAACAAUUGGUAUGUGAGUCCAUAAUUCAUCUCACGAAUAAUGUGUCAAACUCUAGAAGAAAAGCUAAUAUAUAUUAUACUAUUUUAAUGAUUAUUAUAUUAUUAGAUGAACCUCGUAUAAAUCCUACUAAAUAAUAAAUGAAAUUAAAUAGAUUAAAAAUUGAGCCUUUCAUUGAACAUGUGUCCAUUAAAGGUCAAAGUAUAAUAAUCAAAAUUAUAUUAUUAAAAAAAGACAGUUCUAAUGUUCAUUUUUUUCAAUCACUACAAAAUUCCAUAUUUUGGGAAAACUAUCAACAUCAUCACCAACCUGUACUCUGGGACAAAAACAAUUUGGAUAACGAUCUCAUAUUAACAUUUGCAAAGACUUAAAAAGAAAGAGAGAAUGAUAUAAACAUAAUCUAUACAAGAAAACUCACUUCUUUUAACCUUAAAGCAAUAGAUUUGUUCGUCUUUUUCCAUUUAGCUUUUUCAUUUCUAUUCAAAUGCACACUCACACUCGAAUUACUAGCAAUUGCAACAAGUGCAAAGACUUUAAAAGGAAAGCGAAUUCUAAAUUUCUUAUAUUCAAUAGAAAGUUCUUUACUUAUAUUGAAUGAAAGGAGAAAAUUUUAACAAUUAAGGGUGCUUAUGUAUAAGUUUGUUUUGACAGUUUGUAUCCUGAUGUGAUAGCUAUAUUGCUAGGCAUCACAAGGUAAAACAGGAGAAGGCAAUGGCUGUAGCUGAAGAGUCUGUAAAUAUGUUGUCAGCAGUUUCCCUCAUUCUAUCUGUUAUUGGAAUAGCUGAAGAUGUUGAUGAUAGCAAGAGAUAUGCUACAACCUGAAACCAAACAGUUUUCUAACAUUUCAUAAUCAAGCAAAAGACCACUGAGAAACUUAUUUUUAAUUGCAAAACAAAAUCAUAGUAUUAUUAUAUUAGAAGCAUCAAUAACACUUAAGUUAUCAUUGGUUGGUUGAAGAAAAAUAAGUUUAGAAUUUUAUUCCUUCCCAAAAGGAUAAUGCCAACAAAGAGAAGUAUCAAGUUUCCAAUCCACACUUUUAAUCAUUAUUUGCAAGUCUAAUUCACACUUGAAAGGUUCAACUUCAGUCUGCCACAGCCAAAUAGGACAAAAAGCUUGAUAAACAAAUUGAAAACUUUCAUUUUUUAUUUUUGAUCAGUGUUGUGAAACUGCUCACUACAGUUCGAUUUCAACACUGAAUUUGAUUCAGAGAACUGAAUUUGGAUUUAGAAACAGAGCACCAAUGAAAUGAAUGUGAUGGACGAAGAAAGAAUGUCAAACCUGAUAUCCAACCAUAUCAAUCAACCCAGCAGUUCUUGGUUGAAUCAUGUUUUUUCCCGUGAAAACUUCAGUGCACUUGACAAAAACUAAAUAGAAUUGCCAAAGCUAGCAAGUAUCUACAAUCCAAAAAUUCCAAUUUAACUUCAAAUACUAUAUAUGUAAAAAAAAAUUAAAAACUCAAUUGAUUAAAUUCUAUAAUUAUUUUUCUUAUAUACUUGUAGGAAAGUAAAUAAGAAAAAAAGCUAGGUAAAAUCAAAUUAGAUUAGAAAUACUUCUACAAAAUGAAAAAUUAUUUCAUUUAACAUGUCUUGAUUCUCAACAAUUCAAUUUUAAAUUAAUAUAUCUAUGGUGAAUUUUCAAGAGGCAUCCGACCAUGAACCUUAUCUUUGAAAACGACAAACCGGUAAACUUUUCAACUAAGCAUCUUCAAUUUCAACCGUUAAAACUUUUAAUAUAUAUCCAACGGUUAAUUUUGAUAGCAGGUACGGACGAAGCGUAGAAAGUUGAAAUGAAGAGAGUCAAGUGAAGUCUCCUUUCAUCAGUUCAACUCAUUUCUUACGACCAAUUCCUUUCCUUUGCAUCUUUGUUUGCUACUCUGAUCAUCACUUGUUUUCUGUUGAGAUCAUGGCAUUAGCUGCGGUAGGUGGUGCUCUCCUUUCUGCUUUCUUUGACGUUCUUUUCGACAGGCUGGCCUCCCCUGAGGUUCUCAACUUUAUCCGAGGAAAAAAGCCUGACAAGUUGCUUCAAAAGGUGAAAACCCAGCUCAUAGUUGUUAGAGUUGUGCUUGCUGAUGCUGAGAAGAGACAAAUCACAGACUCCAAUGUCAAAGAGUGGCUCGAUCUUCUCAGAGAUGUUGUCUAUGAGGUUGAUGAUUUACUUGAUGAAAUUUCUACUAAAGCUGCUAUUCAAAAGGAGGUAAGCAAUUCAUUUUCUCACCUUUUCAAAUCGAAGAAGAUUGUCAGUAUUACUAAGUUGGAAGACAUUGUUGAAAGAUUAGAUGACAUUUUAAAACAAAAAGAGAAUCUUGAUUUGAAGGAGAUUCCCGUGGAGAGCUACCAGCCAUGGAAAGCUCAGCCAACAUCUUUGGAAGAUGGAUAUGCUAUGUAUGGUAGAGAUAAAGAUAAGGAGGCCAUAAUGAAGAUGGUGUUAGAGGAUAGCACCAAUGGUGAAACAGUGUCUGUGAUCCCUAUUGUUGGCAUGGGUGGGGUUGGAAAAACAACUUUGGCAAGAUCUGUUUUCAACGAUGGCAAAUUGAAGCAGCAAAUAUUUGAUUUAAAGGCAUGGGUUUGUGUUUCUGAUAUAUUUGAUAUUGUGAAGGUCACAAGAACCAUGAUAGAGGAAAUUACCCGAAAGCCUUGUAAAUUGAAUGAUCUAAAUGCUCUUCAACUUGAGUUGAUUGACGAACUGAAGGGUAAAAGAUUAUUGAUUGUCUUAGAUGAUGUUUGGAUCGAGGAUUGUGAAAAUUGGAGUAGUCUUACAAAACCAUUUCUAAGCGGGAAUAAGGGGAGUAAAGUUGUGAUCACAACCCGCAAUGAAAAUGUAGCGACUGCAGUGCCUUUUCAUACUGUUGAAGUAUAUCAUCUAAACAAAUUAUCAAAUGAAGAUUGUUGGUUGGUGUUUGCAAACCAUGCAUUUCCUCAAUCAGAAGCCAGUGAGACUAAAGAAACUCUAGAAAAGAUUGGAAAGGAGAUUGUUAAAAAGUGCAAUGGGUUGCCGUUAGCAGCACGGUCACUUGGAGGAAUGUUGAGAAGAAAGCAGACUAUUAGGGAUUGGAAUAAUGUACUUCAAAGUGACAUUUGGGAACUUCCUGAAAGUCAGUGUAAAAUUAUUCCAGCACUCAGAAUUAGUUAUAAUCAUCUCCCUCCACAUUUAAAACGGUGUUUCGUUUAUUGCUCAUUGUACCCCAAAGAUUAUGAAUUUAAAAAAGAUGAUCUGAUCCAGCUGUGGAUGGCUGAAGAUCUUGUAAAAGCAACGAAGAAAGGAAAGACUUUAGAGGAAGUUGGUCAAGAGUAUUUUGAUGAUUUGGUUUCGAGAUGCUUUUUUCAAUCUUCAAGUGGGAGUGUGGAUGAUUACUUUGUAAUGCACGACCUCAUUCAUGAUCUAGCAACAUUUCUUGGUGGGGACUUCUAUUUCAGAACAGAUGAACUUGAGAAAGAAACCAAUAUCGACAGAAAGACUCGUCAUUUAUCAUUAACAAGAUUCAGUGAUCCAGCCUCGGAUAUUGAAGCUUUUGACACAGUAAAAUUUCCAAGAACUUUCUUGCUAAUCGAUUAUAAAGAUUCUCCAUUCAACAACGAAAAGGCACCGCGUAUUAUAGUGUCAAGGCUUAAGUAUUUGAGAGUUUUAUCGCUUUACAAAUUCCAAAGUCAACUUGCUCUGCCUGAUUCAGUUGGUGAAUUGAUACAUUUGCGUUAUCUAAAUCUCUCUUAUACAAGUAUAGAAACUCUGCCGGAGUCACUGUGUAAUUUGUGCAAUCUACAAACUUUGAAGUUGUCUAGUUGCUCAGAAUUGACUAAGUUGCCUAGUGCCAUGCAAAAUCUUGUAAACUUGCGUCAUCUUGAAAUAUUUGGUACUCCCAUAACAGAGAUGCCUAAAAGAAUGGGGAAACUAAAUAAAUUACGCAACUUGGAUUGUUAUGUUGUGGGCAAGCAUACAGAGAAUAGCAUCAAAGAACUGGGAGGACUUCCAAAUCUCCAUGGUAUGUUUUAUAUUGAGAAAUUAGAGAAUGUUACCAAAGGCGAAGAAGCAUUAGAGGCCAGGAUAAUGGAUAAGAAUCAUAUUAGCCAUCUAUCCUUGGAAUGGUCUAUAGCUAACGACAAUAGCAUCGACUUCCAAGUUGAGUUAGAUAUACUCAGCAACUUAGAACCUCACCAAGACCUGGAAUCGUUGUCAAUAAAGGGUUAUAAAGGAAACAUAUUUCCGGAAUGGGUGGGGAAUUUUUCCUACCGCUACAUGACAAGAAUAAAUUUAUUGAAGUGUAACAACUGUUGCAUGCUUCCUUCACUUGGGCAACUACCGUCUCUCAGUCACCUUCAUAUUUCAAAAAUGUAUUCGGUGAAGACUAUUGAUGCAGGCUUUUAUAAGAAGGAUGAUUGUUCAUCUGUGACGCCCUUUCCAUCCCUUAAAUAUCUAAGCAUUUCUAAUAUGCCUUGUUGGGAGGUGUGGAAUGCAUUUGAUUCAGAAGCUUUUCCUGUGCUUAAGGUUCUUUGUAUAGAAGAAUGCCCCAACCUAAAGGGAGAUCUGCCAAAUCACCUUCCCGCUCUGCAAACACUCCGCAUUAGAAAUUGCGAGCUUCUUGACUGUUCUGUCCCAGGGCCUCGCACCCUUCGAACAUUAGAGAUACAGAAAUGCAAGACAGUAGCGUUUCAUGAGUUUCCACAUUUGGUGAGACGUAUAGAUGUAGAAGGAGGCCCAAUGGUGGAGUCCAUGAUGGAGGCCAUCUCUAACUUCCAACCUACUUGCCUGUACUUUUUGAGAUUACGAAAUUGUUCGUCAGCCAUAUCUUUUAGAGGUGGUCGUCUUCCUGCGUCUUUGAAAAUUCUUGAUAUCACAGGUAUAAACAAACUGAAAUUCCCGUUGCAAGACAAACACGAAUUACUGGAAUCACUUUCAAUAUAUAAUAGUUGUGAUUCGCUCACGUCUCUUCCAUUGGCCAUCUUCCCAAAUCUCACUAGUCUUCGAAUCACAAACUGUGAAAAUAUGGAAUCACUUUUGGUCUCAGGGUCAGAGAUUUCGAAGAGACUGGAGUCUUUUGAAAUUCGCCACUGUCCCAACUUUGUAUCAUUCCCGGGAGAAGGAUUUUGUAUGCCCAAUUUGACUAGGUUCCGUGUUUAUAAUUGUGAAAAGUUGAAAUCGUUGCCCGAUCAGAUGGGAACUCUUUUCCCAAAGAUGGAAUAUCUUUACAUAUCAAACUGUCAACAAAUUGAGUCAUUCCCUGGAGGAGGUAUGCCACCUAACUUGAGAACAGUUAAUAUAAUAGAUUGUGUGAAACUACUGAGCAACCAAGCAUGGGUAUGCAUGGACAUGGUUACCUCUCUCAAUGUGUGGGGUCCAUGUGAUGGAAUCAAAUCCUUCCCAAAGGAGAGUUUGCUGCCUCCCUCCCUUGUGUCUCUAGAUCUAUUUAAUUUGUGUAGUCUGGAAAUGUUGGAUUGCAAGGGCCUUCUCCAUCUCACAUCACUCCAAGAAUUAAACAUUAGAAGCUGUCAAAAGCUGGAGAAUAUUGCGGGAGAAAAGCUGCCUCUCUCUCUAAUAAAAUUAACGAUUGAUGAAUGUCCCUUGCUGAAACAACGAUGCCACAAAAAGGAUCGUCAAAUUUGGCCUAAAAUCUGCCAUGUCCGUGGAAUAAAGAUUGACGGUAGAUGGAUUUAACGAGCAUGGAUGAUGAGAAGGUAAUUCUCCUUAUGAGUAGGUAACCAUGAAAAACUAUUUUUGUCUGUUAUCUUUCAUUUCUUGUCUUUAUCCUUUCAAAUUUAACUUAAUUUAUAUUGCAAUGAACCAGUCUUAAAUUAGUUAAUUGCAGUUUCAUACUUGACUGGAUUUGCAAGUGUGAAGGAAAGCUAACAUUUUGUAUAUAUGUUAUUUAGCGUGAGCAUUCAUGUCAUUUUCGAUUAAACGUAGUCACUGCAGAAGUGAGUAAUGGUCUUUUAUUUUUCUUAACAGUUUGUUUCUUUGUGGUCAGUGUCAAGAUUCUUCUUAGUACUAUAGUGAAUAUGGGAGACAGAUAAUUUUCACUGAAAUUGCAUUUAAAGGGGGUAAAUUGAAUUAAUGUUAUCCAUUCAUUUGAGGUCAAAAUUAAAUUAAUGACUAGAAGGGUGGUAUUUGUUUUUCAGAAAUGUUGUAUUGCCUUGGAGAAACUGCACCGGUCCAUUUUACUGUACUGCCCUCUUGGAGAUCAUCACUAUAUUAUUUGACUUUUGGAUUUGAGUUGAAAGCAUCUGAAAGCUAUAUCGCAGCAUGCAGAGGUUGAAUUUCUCAUACGGCUUAUUAUGCAUUUGAAAUGCUGAUAUUGACUGUAUAUGAUGAAAGGAGUGAAUCCCGUAUCAUAACUAUUGUUUUGCACUCACUCCAAUGCACUGAAUGAGAAAGAACUGGAAGAAAGGGUAUCUUCCAUUCAAAUAUUUUUAAAAUGUCAUAAAUUCAUAAUAUUGUCAUAUUUCUUUACUUUAUCAGGAUGCAUACUUGUAACCAGCUAAACAUUUCAUCUAAAACUGAUAAGCUUUUAUCUUACAG
rnacentral:lncRNA from 1 species